rnacentral:rRNA from 1 species
UACAGAGGUCUCAAGCGUUGUUCGGAUUCAUUGGGCGUAAAGGGCGCGUAGGCGGCGGGGCAAGUCGGGUGUGAAAUCUCAGGGCUCAACCCUGAAACUGCACUCGAUACUGCUCUGCUUGAGGACUGGAGAGGAGACUGGAAUUCACGGUGUAGCAGUGAAAUGCGUAGAUAUCGUGAGGAAGACCAGUGGCGAAGGCGGGUCUCUGGACAGUUCCUGACGCUGAGGAGCGAAAGCCAGGGGAGCAAACGGG